GUUACUUAAUGCAGCAAGGUUAAGCCGAGAGGUGUAGCCGUAGCGAAAGCGAGUCUUAACAGGGCAGCAAGUUGCAUUGAGUAGACCCGAAACCAGGUGAUCUAUCCAUGGCCAGGGUGAAGCGGGAGUAAAAUCUCGUGGAGGCCCGAACCGCCACAGGUUGAAAACUGUUCGGAUGAGCGGUGGAUAGGGGUGAAAGGCCAAACAAACCUGGAGAUAGCUGGUUCUCUUCGAAAUAUAUUUAGGUAUAGCCUUAUAAGUUUCUUAUCGGAGGUAGAGCACUGGAUGGGCUAGGGGUCUCACCGGAUUACUAAACCUAACUAAACUCCGAAUACCGAUAAGUAAGAUUAUAGGAGUCAGCCCGCGGGAGCUAAGUUCCGCGGACGAGAGGGAAACAACCCAGACCACCAGCUAAGGUCCCCAAAUCUAUGCUAAGUGGGGAAGGAUGUGGAAAUGCCCAGACAACCAGGAGGUUGGCUUAGA
rnacentral:rRNA from 1 species